rnacentral:misc_RNA from 1 species
AAGGAUCAUUGAAUCUAUCACAAUCCACAACACUAUGCGAACCUUAGACUGUUGGCCUGCGGCUUCCCACUUGUGGGGAAUCGUGCCGUGACUUCUCUGGCGAUCUUAACCGUGAGCCUUGAGGUUACGGGCCUGGGGGCUCUUGGGCUUCCUGGGUCGGUCCUUAUCAACCAACCAACACCAAACCAAAACCUUCUAAAGAAAAACGGAGCAUUAGGCUUAGAGCCGAAGCUUCAUUAACCAAGACAACUCUCAACAACGGAUAUCUUGGCUCUC